rnacentral:rRNA from 1 species
CCUGAACGCUGGCGGCGUGGCUAAGACAUGCAAGUCGCACGGUGUAGCGUAGCAAUACGCUGCACAGUGGCGAACGGGUGAGUAAUGAAUCGCUAAUGUACCCCGGACUCUGGGAUAGCUAGUCGAAAGAUUAGGUAAUACCAGAUGAUAUAACCGAACCGCAUGGUUUGGUUCUCAAAGGUCCGCCGGUCUGGGAGCAGGCGAUUUCGUAUCAGCUUGNGGUGAGGUAACGGCUCACCAAGGCGACGACGCGUAGCCGGACUGAGAGGUUGGCCGGCCACAUUGGGACUGAGACACUGCCCAGACUCCUACGGGGGGCUGCAGUAACGAAUCUUCCGCAAUGCACGAAAGUGUGACGGAGCGACGCCGCGUGUAGGACGAAGCCC